rnacentral:ncRNA from 1 species
CUUCCCUCAGGGUAGCUGGCACUCGCACAUUUUCAAUCCAUCCAGUUUUAUUCAGUAAAGCCAAUGAUUAGAGGCCUUGGGGCUGAAAUGAUCUCAUUCUCAACCUAUUCUCAGACUUAAAAGGGUAAGAAACCCGGCUCCCUGGCGUGGAAUGUGAGUGCCUAGGGGGCCACAUUUGGUAAGCAAAAGCUGCCCUGCCAGAUGG